GGGCCGUUAGCUCAAUUGGUAGAGCAACUGACUCUUAAUCAGUAGGUCCUCGGUUCGAUCCCGAGACGGACCACAA
rnacentral:tRNA from 1 species